UGUGUGGAUGCUUGAGGAGCCUAUAUUGGAUGUGCCAUGCAUUCUCUUUUUCCUCUGCCACCGUUAACUGACGUGUUCCAGAUAGUGACCAGCAUGAGUCCUAGAGGGAGAAGAACACAGAGCAGAACACCUGUCCAGCCUGCAAUGGACCUACAUUUGUAAAAGGGGUAAGACACCCUGAGAAGAAAAACGCUUGAAAUCGUUGUCCUAGAGAAGGUGUCAGCCAACUCCUGUCUGCAGCAUGGAUCUAUUCAUUUCAAAGAGCAUCUUUCCUGGAAAAAUACAAAGUGAAGAGGAACCCUGAGUAGCCUACAUAAUGCUGAAUAUGACUACUAUAAAACUAGGAUUCUGCAUAUCCCUCUUUUAGUAAAUCACAGAAAUUCACUAAAAAUUCUGAAGAUCCUUCUCAGGCUGGAGGCCCCCCAUGAUGACUGUUCUCUCAGUGCGUGUUCCAGAACCUCCUUCUGUACUGCUGUUUCCUCUUCAAUGCUGAAGGCUUGGCAGCCAUGCCUGAUACAAUCUGA